UUUUAUCGUAGAAUAUGGACAGAUGGCGCUUAUAAACCAGUUUAAAGAAAGAAAGAUUAAAGAAAAAAGAAAGAUUCUUCAAAAGCAUAUAAAAAAAGUAUAAUCUCGCCGGCUACGACUCGAUCGCUUGCCAAAUCAUCGUGGCGACGCAGCGACUUUGGUAGCUUUUGGCACUUGUUCUCUAGACAUUUUUGAACGUCUAGAAAAUAAGUUCUUCAAUUACUCUUUACAAACAUGAAGUUUGUGGGCAUUACUAUUUUCGUCCUCGGAGUUCUGCACUCAGGUAUAUUGAACAUCUAUCCAAUAACGCAUAUACUUUUGCUGACAUGAAUCCAUCAAUAUUUUCAGGAAGUGCUCAACCAACUGUAUCCCAUAUCAAGGCCGAUAAGCCGAUCAACGAUUUAGGAAGCACGGUGCGUCUUCAAUGCCAAGUAGUUGGGCUACAGGAUUACGCAAUCACGUGGUCGAAAAUCGACAAAACUAUCAUUAGCUAUGAACGGAACAUAUCCAUAGCGAGUAUUAAACAGGUUUACAAUCCACGAAACUCUGUCAGAUCCGAGAUUUUCAAGAAGAAGAUGAGGGCCUCUACCAAUGUCAAGUUGUAGUUUCUGCCGACGAGCGAGUCAGCGCGGAAAUUGAAGUUAAAGCCCGCAAACCACCAGUAUUCACCAAAAAUUCUACCACUUCGUUGGUUAUCCGCCAAGGGCAGCCCAUGAAACUCGAGUGUUACGCGGACGGUUUUCCCGAACCGCAAAUCACCUUUCGCAGAGAGAACAAUUACGAUUUACCUACUGGAGGAUCAGUCUAUCGCGGAAACGUACCGAGCGUCGAUGCUGUCAGCAAGCAACAUGGGGGAUGGUACUAUUGUGUCGCUGAUAACGGAGUCGGCCGAAGCGUUCGGCAUAUCAUCAACAAGUGGAUAUAAUCGAGUUCGCGAGCACCAUUACAGUUCCACGUCCAAGAUUUGGUCAAGCCUUACAAUUCGAUGCCGAUCUGACAUGCCGCGUGGAAGCCUAUCCGCUACCUGCUGUUUUUUGGUACAAAGACGGAGUGCAAAUCUCUUACGACAACGAGCACUACGUCUUCUCUAAUUUCGCUACCGAUGGUUCUGUCGUCGAUUCGACGCUUAAAAUCAAGAAGGUCGCAAAAGAGGAUUACGGCCACUACGUGUGCAAGGCUGCGAAUAAGGUGAACUCUGUUGAGGCUGGGAUCGAACUUUUCGAAACCAAAAAGCCGAUCUGCCCUCCUGCCUGCAACGUUCAGGAGAUUCAACAAAAUAACACCGUACAAGAUGACUCUGCAGCGAUCGUCAAGUCCCAUAAAUAAGGAAAAAAAUAAUUUAUAAGUUGUAAAAGUUUGUAUAAUUAUUAUUGA